rnacentral:rRNA from 1 species
UACGUAGGGUGCAAGCGUUGCUCGGAAUCAUUGGGCGUAAAGAGCGUGUAGGUGGCUAGAUACGUCGGGUGUGAAAUCCCUCGGCUCAACCGAGGAAGUGCAUUCGAAACUAUCUAGCUCGAGGAUGGCAGAGGAAGGUGGAAUUCCUAGUGUAGAGGUGAAAUUCGUAGAUAUUAGGAGGAAUACCGGUGGCGAAGGCGGCCUUCUGGACCAUUCCUGACACUGAGACGCGAAAGCGUGGGUAGCAAACAGG